rnacentral:rRNA from 1 species
UAGAGUUUGAUCCUGGCUCAGGAUGAACGCUAGCGACAGGCCUAACACAUGCAAGUCGAGGGGCAUCGGGGCGAGGAGCAAUCCUUGCCGCCGGCGACCGGCGCACGGGUGAGUAACGCGUAUGCGACCUGCCCGUUGCAGGGGGAUAAUCGGGAGAAAUCCCGUCUAAUACCGCGUAAUGCCGCGGGGCUGCAUGGCCCUGCGGCCAAAGGGAGCGAUUCCGGCAACGGAUGGGCAUGCGUGACAUUAGCUAGUUGGCGGGGCAACGGCCCACCAAGGCGACGAUGUCUAGGGGUUCUGAGAGGAAGGUCCCCCACACUGGUACUGAGACACGGACCAGACUCCUACGGGAGGCAGCAGUGAGGAAUAUUGGUCAAUGGGCGCGAGCCUGAACCAGCCAAGUCGCGUGAGGGAAGACGGUCCUAUGGAUUGUAAACCUCUUUUGUCGGGGAGCAAAAGACGCCACGUGUGGCGUUCCGAGAGUACCCGAAGAAAAAGCAUCGGCUAACUCCGUGCCAGCAGCCGCGGUAAUACGGAGGAUGCGAGCGUUAUCCGGAUUUAUUGGGUUUAAAGGGUGCGCAGGCGGAAGAUCAAGUCAGCGGUAAAAUUGAGAGGCUCAACCUCUUCGAGCCGUUGAAACUGGUUUUCUUGAGUGAGCGAGAAGUAUGCGGAAUGCGUGGUGUAGCGGUGAAAUGCAUAGAUAUCACGCAGAACUCCGAUUGCGAAGGCAGCAUACCGGCGCUCAACUGACGCUCAUGCACGAAAGUGUGGGUAUCGAACAGGAUUAGAUACCCUGGUAGUCCACACAGUAAACGAUGAAUACUAAUUGUUCGGGGAGAAUGAUCCCUGAGUGAUACAGCGAAAGCGUUAAGUAUUCCACCUGGGGGGUACGCCGGCAACGGUGAAACUCAAAGGAAUUGACGGGGGCCCGCACAAGCGGAGGAACAUGUGGUUUAAUUCGAUGAUACACGAGGAACCUUACCCGGGCUCAAACGACACAGGAAUACUUUUGAAAGGAGGUAGCUCUACGGAGUCUGUGUCGAGGUGCUGCAUGGUUGUCGUCAGCUCGUGCCGUGAGGUGUCGGCUUAAGUGCCAUAACGAGCGCAACCCCCAUCGCCAGUUACCAGCAAGUCAAGUUGGGGACUCUGGCGAGACUGCCGGCGCAAGCUGUGAGGAAGGCGGGGAUGACGUCAAAUCAGCACGGCCCUUACGUCCGGGGCGACACACGUGUUACAAUGGCAGGUACAGAGAGAAGCAAUGCGGCGACGCAAAGCGGAACUUGAAAGCCUGUCUCAGUUCGGAUUGGAGUCUGCAACUCGACUCCAUGAAGCUGGAUUCGCUAGUAAUCGCGCAUCAGCCAUGGCGCGGUGAAUACGUUCCCGGGCCUUGUACACACCGCCCGUCAAGCCAUGGAAGCCGGGAGUGCCUGAAGUGUGCAACCGCAAGGAGCGCCCUAAGGUAAAACUGGUGACUGGGGCUAAGUCGUAAUCAAGGUAACCGUAA